rnacentral:rRNA from 1 species
AACGAACGCUGGCGGCAUGCCUAACACAUGCAAGUCGAACGAGACCUUCGGGUCUAGUGGCGCACGGGUGCGUAACGCGUGGGAACCUGCCCUUAGGUUCGGAAUAACUCCCCGAAAGGGGUGCUAAUACCGGAUAAUGUCUUCGGACCAAAGAUUUAUCGCCUUUGGAUGGGCCCGCGUUGGAUUAGCUAGUUGGUAGGGUAAAAGCCUACCAAGGCGACGAUCCAUAGCUGGUCUGAGAGGAUGAUCAGCCACACUGGGACUGAGACACGGCCCAGACUCCGACGGGAGGCAGCAGUGGGGAAUAUUGGACGAUGGGCGAAAGCCUGAUCCAGCAAUGCCGCGUGAGUGAUGAAGGCCUUAGGGUUGUAAAGCUCUUUUAGCCGGGAUGAUAAUGACAGUACCGGGAGAAUAAGCUCCGGCUAACUCCGUG